UACGUAGGGUGCAAGCGUUGUCCGGAUUGACUGGGCGUAAAGCGCACGCAGGCGGUUUGGCGCGUGGGGUGUGAAAUCUGGCCGCUUAACGGCCAGGCGCCAUCCCAUACGGCUAAACUGGAGUGAUGCAGAGGUCGGUGGAAUUGCCGGUGUAGUGGUGAAAUGCGCAGAUAUCAGGAGGAACACCGGUGGCGAAGGCGGGUCUCUGGACAGUUCCUGACGCUGAGGCACGAAGGUCAGGGGAGCAAACGGG
rnacentral:rRNA from 1 species